rnacentral:piRNA from 1 species
UGUAUUGAGGCCUGAACAACAAACAUUGUGU